UACGGAGGGUGCAAGCGUUAUUCGGAAUUACUGGGCGUAAAGCGCGUGCAGGCGGGUAUGCAAGUCUGAUGUGAAAGCCCCGGGCUCAACCUGGGAAGUGCAUUGGAAACUGCAUAUCUUGAGUGCUGGAGAGGAAGGGGGAAUUCCCGGUGUAGAGGUGAAAUUCGUAGAGAUCGGGAGGAAUACCAGUGGCGAAGGCGCCCUUCUGGACGGCAACUGACGCUGAGACGCGAAAGCGUGGGGAGCAAACAGG
rnacentral:rRNA from 1 species